UACGAAGGGGGCUAGCGUUGUUCGGAAUUACUGGGCGUAAAGCGCGCGUAGGCGGUUUGGUAAGUUAGAGGUGAAAGCCCGGAGCUCAACUCCGGAAUGGCCUUUAAGACUGCCAGACUUCGAGGCCGUGAGAGGUGAGUGGAAUUCCCAGUGUAGAGGUGAAAUUCGUAGAUAUUGGGAAGAACACCAGUGGCGAAGGCGGCUCACUGGCACGGUUCUGACGCUGAGGCGCGAAAGCGUGGGGAGCAAACAGG
rnacentral:rRNA from 1 species